CCAUGUUCCACUAACCAUAAUGAACCGUAGAGUUUUCUGGAGGAUCUGGGUGAAGAUGGUCACAAGAAGGCAUGAAGAAGGGCUUGGAAAGAUCCUCGGGCUUUUUCUAUCUGGUCUGAGCUGCCAGGCAGCUGAGAAACAAACAAGUGGCCACCCCUUCAACAACCAGCCAGUGUGAUUUAACUUUUCUAUGCCGAUUUUCCAACGGAGGAUUAGGUGCAUCCACGUGUGGAAAAGGAAUCGUGCUAGCACAGUGUGGAGCUUGCAGGCACGGGGGAUAAAUGGAAGAAAUCUGGGAUCAAAAAGAAGGAGCAAGAGGAGGAAGAACACUAGCAUCAAGUGAGAGUAAUCGGGAAAUUAAGAAUGCAGAGGGAGCUGGUUUCUUGUUCUGCUCUGCCAUAGUGGUCCUCCUCUUCCCACACCGAGGAAUAGGCUCAUUGAAACGUAGUUGCUUCUUCCUGGAUGGCUGAACGAUCUCAACGGCCCCAGAGCGGAUCUUUU